AACAGGCCGUUAGGCGGUAAUGGCAGGGCCCCGCCUCCUUCUCGGGCCCUGGAAACGGGGCUGUUGCAGGGAGGAUGCGCAGUGCAGGUCUGCACGGCCACAUGGAAGCGUCAAGGAAAUACAGGCAAAACGUGGUUACGCAAAGGUUGCUAAGACUUACGGAGCUGCCAGAGCUCCCGGGAAGAAGGUGAAGGGAUCAAACAUGAGUCUAUUGUGUCUCCUGCUGUGGUGAAGGAGGAAAUAGACAGAACAGGCUCUGUCUUGAAAGCAGAACUCCAUCUUGGGGUGGAUUGUGGACUUUGAGCUAUAUGCCCAGUAUCUAUGGAAACGACAUACCAACUGGAAAACCAGACCCCUCUGGUUUGAAGAGCCCCAAGAAAUUCUGCAUACUUCUCAAAGUCACUCAUUUCAAGCUGUGAAAAGCAUCUGAAAGCUUGGAAAAGCAGCCAGCCUUGCUCAAUACCUCAUCCAGGCUUAGCAAUGCCAGCACAUUGUCAAUUCUCAACAAUUUCUGUUGGAUGAGUGAGUGAGUGAGUGAUUAGAUGAAUGACUGCUAUUUGCGUUAAAUUUUGAUAGCUUACAAUGUGUUUUGGAAACAGAUUUAUGUGUGUGUGAGAGAAAG
ensembl:lncRNA